GACGAACGCUGGCGGCGUGCUUAACACAUGCAAGUCGAACGGAAAGGCCCUGCUUUUGUGGGGUGCUCGAGUGGCGAACGGGUGAGUAACACGUGAGUAACCUGCCCUUGACUUUGGGAUAACUUCAGGAAACUGGGGCUAAUACCGGAUAGGAGCUCCUGCUGCAUGGUGGGGGUUGGAAAGUUUCGGCGGUUGGGGAUGGACUCGCGGCUUAUCAGCUUGUUGGUGGGGUAGUGGCUUACCAAGGCUUUGACGGGUAGCCGGCCUGAGAGGGUGACCGGCCACAUUGGGACUGAGAUACGGCCCAGACUCCUACGGGAGGCAGCAGUGGGGAAUAUUGCACAAUGGGCGGAAGCCUGAUGCAGCAACGCCGCGUGCGUGAUGACGGCCUUCGGGUUGUAAACCGCUUUCGCCUGUGACGAAGCGUGAGUGGCGGUAAUGGGUAAAGAAGCACCGGCUAACUACGUG
rnacentral:rRNA from 1 species